rnacentral:rRNA from 1 species
UAUCUGGCUAGGACGACGCUGGCGGUGCGCCUAAUGCAUGCAAGUCGAACGGACGGCAUAGAUUCGUCUUUGUCGUUAGUGGCGGACGGCUGAGUAACACGUAAGUGACCUACCCUGAAGAGGGGGAUAACCCCGAGAAAUCGGGCCUAAUACCCCGUAAGCUCCGAUCGUCAAGGCGAACGGAGGAGAGGUUCCCGGCUAGUUCGGGUUCCGCUUUAGGAGGGGCUUGCGGCCUAUCAGGUAGUUGGUGGGGUAAUGGCCUACCAAGCCGAAUACGGGUAACCGGUGUGAGAGCAUGAUCGGUCAGAGGGGGACUGAGACACGGCCCCCACUCCUACGGGAGGCAGCAGCAGGGAAUCUUGCGCAAUGGGCGAAAGCCUGACGCAGCGACACCGCGUGGGGGAAGAAGGCUUUAGGGUCGUAAACCCCUUUUAUCAGGGAGGAGAAUGGACAGUACCUGAUGAAUAAGGUUCGGCUAACUACGUGCCAGCAGCCGCGGUAAUACGUAGGAACCGAGCGUUGUCCGAAUUUACUGGGCGUAAAGGGCGCGUAGGCGGCUUGUUAAGUCUUAUGUGAAAUCUCCCGGCUCAACUGGGAGGGGACAUGGGAAACUGGCAGGCUCGAGGGCAGUAGAGGGAAGCGGAAUUCCCGGAGUAGUGGUGGAAUGCGUAGAUACCGGGAGGAACACCAGAGGCGAAAGCGGCUUCCUGGGCUGUCCCUGACGCUGAGGCGCGAAAGCGUGGGGAGCAAACCGGAUUAGAUACCCGGGUAGUCCACGCCCUAAACGAUGGAUACUAGGUAUGGGGGGUAUCGACCCCUCCCGUGCCGCAGCUAACGCAAUAAGUAUCCCGCCUGGGGAGUACGGCCGCAAGGCUAAAACUCAAAGGAAUUGACGGGGGCCCGCACAAGCAGCGGAGCGUGUGGUUUAAA